rnacentral:rRNA from 1 species
AGUAACUGCGAGUGAAGCGGGAAAAGCUCAAAUUUAAAAUCUGGCGGCAGAUGGUCGUCCGAAUUGUAACCUCGAGAAGUGAAGCCCGCACUGGACCAUGUACAAGUCUCCUGGGAUGGAGCGUCAGAGAGGGUGAGAAUCCCGUGCGUGGCAUGGAGCACCAGUGCAGUGUGGUUCGCUCUCAAAGAGUUGAGUUGUUUGGGAAUGCAGCUCGAAAUGGGUGGUAAAUUCCAUCUAAAGCUAAAUAUUGGCGAGAGACCGAUAGCGAACAAGUACCGUGAGGGAAAGAUGAAAAGAACUUUGGAAAGAGAGUUAAAUAGUACGUGAAAUUGUUGAAAGGGAAACGCUUGAAGUCAGUCGCGUUGGUCGGGGAUCAGUCCUGCAGUUAUGCUGGAUGGAAUUCCUGGUCGAUGGGUCAUCAUGAGUUUUGAGCACUGGAGAAAGGCUUGGGGAAUGUGACACCUGUGGGUGUGUUAUAGCUCCAAGUCGUAUACAGUGGUUGAGACUGAGGAAAGCAACGCGCCUUUUGGCAGGG